rnacentral:rRNA from 1 species
UACAGAGGUCUCAAGCGUUGUUCGGAUUCAUUGGGCGUAAAGGGUGCGUAGGCGGCGCGGUAAGUCGGGUGUGAAAUCUUGGAGCUUAACUCCGAAGCUGCAUUCGAUACUGCCGUGCUUGAGGACUGGAGAGGAGACUGGAAUUUACGGUGUAGCGGUGAAAUGCGUAGAUAUCGUAAGGAAGACCAGUGGCGAAGGCGGGUCUCUGGACAGUUCCUGACGCUGAGGCACGAAGGUCAGGGGAGCAAACGGG